UAAAGGGUCGCAGCAGUCCAUUCCAUUAUUCAAAAUAUCCAUUUCAUUAUUCAAAAUUGGCUAACAUGUUUAACCCCGUCACAUUAUUUAUGUAUGUGUCUGUCCCAAGUCAGGAGUCUGUAAUUUAGUGGUUGUCGUUUGUUUAUGUGUUACAUAUUUGUUUUUCGUUCAUUUUAUAAAAUAAAUAAGGCUUUUAGUUGUCUUGUUUAAAUUGUUUUACAUUGUCUUAUUGGGGCCUUUUAUAGCUGACUAUGCGGUAUGGGCUUUGCUCAUUGUUGUAGGCUGUACGGUGAGCUAUAGUUGUUGAUGUCUGUGUCAUUUUGGUCUUUUGUGGAUGUUUGUUUCAUUGGCAAUGAUACCACAUCUUCUUUUUUUUUAAUAUAUUUCCUCAUUUUUUAUGCAUAUUGUGGCAUUUAGGUCGUCCGUAAACCCUCUUAUGGUCAUUGCGAAUCAAAAUAUAGCUAUAGUGUCACGGUCAAUUUUUUUUAAUUUUUUUUCACUAUUCACCGCUUCAAUUUGAAUAAUGAAACAUAAACCAUUUCAUUAUUCAUUAUUCAUUUUUCAAUAUUGAAUAGUGAAUAAUGAACUAUUUCAUUAUUCAUUAUUG
rnacentral:lncRNA from 1 species